rnacentral:lncRNA from 1 species
GGGAUGCGUGAGAGGAGAAGCAAAACCUAGGCCUUGUAACAAAUUUCAAUGGACACACUAAUAGUGCAUCUUAUACAGCUUCUCCUCAUAUGUUAGAACCCAUAAAUUCGGUGAUAAUUUGCUGGGGAAGGUGGCGCACUCAGGCGAUAGACCCAAGGCUGAAGCCGUGCUUGUGUAUCUCCGGCACAUUUCCGAAGAUUUGACACCUAUCAACGGUACUUUCCUCUGUUUGUGAAGAAAAAAUCCACAUUUUUAAAGUCGGUCGUUUGUGAAAAUUUCUCGGGAAAGGUGGUUCACUCCGACGAUGAACUCGAAGCUGAAGCCGUGCUCGUGUAUCUCCGCCACGUUUCCGAAAAAAUUUGACGACUAUCAACGAUACUUUCCUUUGUUUGUGUAGAAAAAAUCCACAUUUUUGAAGAGAGUCUUUUGUGAAACAUAAAUCAAUCUCCGUCCGUUUGUGAAGCACUUUCCUCUGUUUGUGAAGCAUAAAUCCAUCUCCGUCCCAAUUUUAGUAAGCUUCUCUCUUUGGGUUCUCGAAGUUUGUAAAAUUUAUUUGUAAUGUUAAAUUCGUUCAAGGUUUUCUCUUGGUCUAUGGUAACUGAAAUAAUGGUAUAUCGUAGUUAAAUGUUCGAAAUUUGUUUCCUUUGAUGCUUUGAGUAUUUAAACCCUAUGUAAAAUUAAUCCUUUUGUGAUAUAACUUUAGGCAUAGCAACAAGAUUAAAUAAUAGACAUCUUCAGAAACAUGAGCUAUUCAUUAUUUGCAAGUUGUAAUGAUGUAGUUAAAAUUCUGUUUAUUUCGAAUUGUUGUCCGCUUAUCUAAUAGUAACUACAGAUUUUUGAAUGUGACUGCUUACGUGGCUUUUUGUUUACUUAUCUAACAAUUACUAUGGACGAAAUGCAAAUCGAGCACGAUGAUGUGUUGGCAGAAUCUGAUGAUGGGAAUGUUACGGACUUCGUUGACGUUGUGGACGGUGAAACCUCAGUGGGAGAUGGUGUGAUUGUGGCUAGGGUAGGUAUGGAGUUUAAGGAGUUUAAAGAUAUGUUUGAGUUGUACAAAAAAUAUGCUUAUGUAGUUGGAUUUCCAAUUAAGAAAAGGAAUUUGAAAAAGGGGGAUGAUAGAGAGUUGAGAUAUAUAACCUUGACAUGUAGCCGUGAAGGUCGAAGAAUCGGUAAUACUAGCGGUUCUUUCAAGCUGCAACCAACAAUACAGAUAGGUUUUAAAGCCAGGAUCUUUGCGUCAUUAGAUAUUCAUGGGGUAUGGAAAAUUAAUGAGGUCCACCUCAACCACAAUCAUGAAACCAACCUGUCGAAAUCUAGAUUAUAUCGAUGUAACCAAGAAUUGAGUUCACACGUGAAACGUAAGCUUGAAGUCAAUGAUUUGGCGAGAAUUACAUUGCAUAAAAGUUUCAAUUCUGCAGUUGUCGAAGCAGGUGGUUAUGAGAACAUGAGUUGCGUUGAGAAGGAUUGUCGAAAUUAUAUUGAACAAAUUAGGUGAUUAAGACUUGGUAAAGAAGAUGCUGAUGCAAUACAAGCAUACUUAUCAAAGAUGGAUGCACAGUGCUCGGGAUUUUACUUUAGCAUGGAUUUGGACGAUGAAUCCCAACUACAAAAUGUCUUUUAGGCAGAUAAUUGUUGCAGGCAAGCGUAUAAGAAAUUUGGCGAUAUUAUGUUUGAUACCACGUACCUGACAAACAAGUAUGAUAUGCUUUUCGCCCCAUUUAUUGGCGUUAAUCAUUACGGACAGUCAACAUUGUUUGGUUGUGGUUUGUGUCGAAUAAAGAUACAGAUACUUUCGUGUGGUUGUUCAGGACAUUGCUACAAUUUAUGCAUGGUUAUGCACUUCAUCAAAUAAUUACCGAUAAGAUAGAGUCAUGCAAAAUGCAAUUCAAAUUAUUUUUCCAAACACAAGGCAUAGACGGUAUUUGUGGCAUAUUUUAAAGAAAUUGCCAAGUUUUCAAUAUUUGGGGCUAUACAUGUAUUAGUUUAUGAUUCUCAAUUUGUUUAAGAAUUUAAAAAUGGGUAGGUUGCAAUGAUUGAAAAGUAUAGCUUGUAGGAUAGUGAUUGGUUAUCUGGCCUAUACGAGAAUUGAAGCCGCUGGAUUCCAUGUUUUUUGAAGACGACAUUUUGGACAGGGAUGUCAACAGCAUAAAGAAGUGAGAAUAUGAAUGCAUUCUUCGAUGGUUACGUGCAUUCCAUGACCUCGCUAAAGCAAUUUGUAGAACAAUCUGAACGAGCACUACGAAACAAGGUUGAAGAGGAGUUCCAGGCUGAUUUCAUAUCAUUUUCCCUAAUGGUAUCAUGCAGAACACAAUAUGAAAUUGAGCUACAAUUUCAGUCAAUUUACACCAUUGCAAAAUUUAGGGAAGCUCGGGAUGAAUUCAAGAGCAGGUUUACUAUGAUGUUAUAUCUACUUUGGGGGAACUUGUCGACGAUGUACGAGGUACGCGACGAUGUUAUGCAUUAUGGACGACGAAAGAAAAAAAAAAAUUCUUCGUCUCAUUUGAGAGAGAAUUGUGACAUUCUUUAUAGCUGCCAUUUGUUCGAGUUUCGAGGAAUUAUUUAUCACCAUGGAAUGGCAGUAUUGAUUUGUUGUAAUGUGACUUUACUUCCAAAUAGGUACAUACUGCAGAGAUAGAAAAGAGAUGUUAGUAGAAUACACAUGAGGGUCGCAGUGAAUUACGAUGGUUUGAUUAGUUCUCUGGAGCAGUUGAUAUACGACAAACUGUGUCGUGAGUCUCUGUAAGUAGCAGCCCUUGCUAUAGAUGACGAAAGGCAGUCGCGUGCGAUACUGGACUAGAUAAAACUUCAGUGCAAAGAACAUUUGAAGUCAAAAUGGUCAUAUAGUGGAAGUAAUGUGAUUUCGCAACAUACUAUUCAGGUAGCCGAUCAAUAUACCAAUUUGUAGAAUGAUGCCUGCAUGAACAUAUGAGACCCGAAAUCAUCGCGUAGAAAGGGGGGCCCAACAAAAUGAGGAAAAAAGGUUUGCUGGAGUCGAGUUUUUAUUCGUAUAAUUUAAACAACAAACGUUUAAAAAAAAUUGUACUAAAUACUUUAAAUGCACAUAUGGGGAAGUUCGACAUCAACCAAAGGAAAGAGACCUACUGCACGACAUACUGAUAUGCAAGAGAGUGGAGUCGACGUUCAUGAAGCUCAGCAACAAUACUACUCAGUGCAGUCACCGCUCUCUUGUCUACAAUAUUUGAUGUCGACAACAUUCCCAUUCUCACAGUAUACCAUCGUGACACCAUUCUCGUGUUCAAGGGUAUUACCGUUUUCAAAUUACAUCCCUCCGUCAUCAUCAAAUGUUAUAUAUAUAGUUCUCAAGGUAAGUUCGCACGGUCAAUAUGUUAAAGAUAAAUUCUCAAUGUUAUUUAAAAUAUGCAACAAAUAAUGUCCAUAUUGUAUUGUAGGCCAACCAAUGCCGUACUAUUAUCCAUAUUUAUCGGAUCACUGAGAAUCAGGUUUGUGUAAUGGAUUCCAAUUCUAAAACAAAUAUGAUGACAAAUACUUCUAUCACCAAUAGCUAUCUCAUUGGGAGAUAGUGCAUUUGUUUUUUUUUUUUUUGUUUUUGUUUUUUUUGUGUUCAGGUAGAGCAUUGUAAGAGGCAGGUGCAUAGACGGGUUGGCAGUUACCUGGUCACUGGUGCUACAAUUUACUGAUAAUGAAGAUAUCUUCCGCAAGCAAUUAGGCUUGGUGCUUCCGGUUGUUGUCCCUGCCAUAUACUAUGGCUCUCUGAUUUUGGUUGCUGCCUAUACCACGGAAAUUGCUGCUGCUGUUAAGAUUUGCUGCUUCUGUCUUCUACAAUUAGUUCUGUAAGAUGUUGAGAAGACCACCAAAGUUGUUUCUAUGUAUACAGCCUGCUCUCUAUUGCUGCUUCCUCAUUCCUUGCUAGUUUUCUGGGAAUAUUUGUGUACAAUCUAUUAUAUUUAAUUCAAGAAAUACCUCUCUCUCCAGUUUUG